rnacentral:misc_RNA from 1 species
GUGAAUUGAACAUGUUAGCGGACCUCUUCGGAGCCCCUAGCAUCAAAUCAUAUCCAUAACACCUGUGAACUGUAAGGCUGUCUUGAAAACGAAAGUGAUUAGAGCGCCUGCCCAUUUUAUACAAACAUUAAAGUAACAAACGUAGUCUUAUUAUAAUCUAAUA